UUGGAGUGAGCGGGCUGGGGGGAAGAGAGAGGCCUUUCUCGGGCUGUGUGUGGGCCUGCUGAGGGAGGGAGGAAGCUGCUGUGGGACAUUCUUGUGGAUUUAAUCCCCUAAACACUGAUGGAAAUUCAUUAUUUGGCUUCUGUUUCACGCUGUUUGUUGCGAAUAGACAUUGAAAUAAAGGACAGUAGAAACAAAUGUGAAUGAUAAAUGUAGCUGGCACUGGAUAAAUGUCUCUAUGUCAAAUCGUGCCCAGUAUUUGUUUUUCAACGGUUAGUGCAUUGGGAGCUGGACAUUGAACUGUGGAAUCAUUACAUUUGUGGAGCUGUGCAAAUGUUGGCAAGUACUCAAAGGACCAAGACAAUGUAAUAUUCCCUCGGUACUGAGCUAAGUGUGACCAGCUGCUUCGAACAAAUAGCAGAUGCUGCCACACCUGCUGAGUGCCUGAAGCAAUUUUUAGAGUGUUCAUGUCAAGUCUUCAGCUGCACCCCAGUGAAGAACAAGCAC